GCAGUGUGGCGUAGUGGUAAGGAGCAGGGCUCAGAACCCUGAGAUUGCCAGUUUGAAUCCUACGUGCA